GAGUGAUGAGGAAUUCUGCGCGCCUUGAUGGAAGGGGUCCAUCAGCUACACCUGAAUUUACAGGAAGAAAACAAGCGCAACUGAGCUC